GCCUGCGGCUUAAUUUGACUCAACACGGGAAAACUUACCCGGCCCGGACACUGGAAGGAUUGACAGAUUAAGAGCUCUUUCUUGAUUCAGUGGAUGGUGGUGCAUGGCCGUUCUUAGUUGGUGGAGCGAUUUGUCUGGUUAAUUCCGAUAACGAACGAGACUCUAGCCUACUAAAUAGACGAACGAUCACUGAAGUCGUUCGAUCUUCUUAGAGGGACAAGCGGCUUUUAGCCGCACGAGACAGAGCAAUAACAGGUCUGUGAUGCCCUUAGAUGUCCGGGGCCGCACGCGCGCUACACUGAAGGAAUCAGCGUGCGUUUACCCCUGUCCGGCAGGACUGGGUAACCCGAUCAACCUCCUUCGUGAUAGGGAUAGGGGCUUGUAAUUCUUGCCCUUGAACGAGGAAUUCCCAGUAAGCACGAGUCAUAAGCUCGUGUUGAUUACGUCCCUGCCCUUUGUACACACCGCCCGUCGCUACUACCGAUUGAAUGAUUUAGUGAGGUCUUCGGACUGGCGCUCGGAGCGGCCUUACUGGUCGCGCCGGCGUGCCGGAAAGAUGACCGAACUUGAUUAUUUAGAGGAAGUAAAAGUCGUAACAAGGUUUCCGUAGGUGAACCUGCGGAAGGAUCAUUACCGAUUCGGCGAGGCCGAGAAGCCUCGUCCGGUCACACACACACUCAGACAGAGCAAUAGACCGGUUGGGGGUGUCUGUUCCCGCGGCACUGUGCCCUGGCGCGAAGCGUCUUGGCGUCGCGGGGGUGCCCGUCCCUCGGGUCGCAGGUCGGCGACACACGUGAGGACCGGCGCUAGGCGUAAGAGCAACCGCCACCCCCGGAGAGACGGGACGCCCAGUGCGUGCCCGAACGGACGGGUCGUAGCCCGGCGCUUCGUCGUCCGUCCGAGAGAGAGAGAGAAGUUCCCCGCAUUCGCGGGGAAAGAGAAACAGGGGUAACUGGCCGACUCGGACCGGUAAAGUCCGAGAGAGAGAGAGUGUAUCUCUCGAAGUAACAAAUGCCUCGUCAUCUAUGUGACGCAAAACUCGGACGUAGUCCGAGAGAGAGUACACGGCGACUCUCGAAAAGCAUUUCUCCAAGGUGAUUAUGUAAGUAGCCAAAUGCCUCGUCAUCUAUGUGACGCAAAACUCUGACCUAGAUGCAAUGAAGAGAGAGAGAAGUAACUAUGAGGAGAGACUCGGACCAAGUCCGAGAGAGAUAGUAGCAAAUACGCAAAGUAGUCAAGUAAUUGACUAAAAAAGGGAAAUAAUAACUAUGACACGGGAGAGCGACGACGGGCCGGCGGCGAGGAGCCAGGCGGCCGAUGGAGGCCAACCCGCGUGGACCACUAUAGCCGGUUCCGCCUCCGCAGAAAAGGGCGAAGUCCGAAGUGGUCUAGGACGAUCCCUAGAGGCCGCCACGGGUUUCCGAGAAGCCGGUCCCGGUUGCUCUCUCAGAGACAAUGUAGGUAAGCGAAGGCGGUGGGGCGGCGCCUUCGGAGUUACUCUCUCGAGGUGUGGAGGAAAGUGGAGGUAGGUCGGAGGGGGCGCCUAGUCUCGGGGUCUCGGCCCCGGGGUGUGCCUUCGCCGUCGGCGGAGGCGCUAGGCGUAACGAGCCGAAAGGCCGGCCCGAAAGUUUGAAACACUGUAACUAUGACAUAGAGCUAAUACUAAGUACAACUCGAAGUGGUGGAUCACUCGGCUCACGGGUCGAUGAAGAACGCAGCCAGCUGCGAGACUUGGUGUGAAUUGCAGGACACA
rnacentral:rRNA from 1 species